GAUGGUGUGCUUCUUUCUUCUUCUGAUGCGACAGAGUACAGGAGUAUUGUUGGUGGGCUCCAGUACUUGACGAUCACGCGACCAGACAUUUCCUAUACUGUUAACCGAGUCUGCCAGUAUCUGCAGUCACCCCGUGACACUCAUUGGUCUGCUGUUAAGCGGAUUUUGCGCUAUAUUCGUUUCACGGUGGCUCAUGGUUUGCAUAUUCGGCCGUCUGACUCUGGUUGUCUUUCAGCAUAUUCUGGUGCAGACUGGGCUGGCAAUCCGGAUGACAGGCGAUCCACGGGGGGUUAUGCUGUCUUCUUUGGCUCUAACCUGAUUGCCUGGAGUGCUCGGAAACAGGCUACUGUCUCGCGUAGCAGUACUGAGGCUGAGUAUAAGGCUUUGGCCAAUGCCACAUCAGAGAUCAUCUGGGUACAAUCCUUGCUUCAGGAGUUAAGUAUACCCCAAUCACAGCCUCCUGUUCUUUGGUGUGAUAACAUCGGU
rnacentral:rRNA from 1 species